rnacentral:rRNA from 1 species
CAGUCGCCGCGGGAAUACGUAGGUCCCGGGCGUUGUCCGGAUUUAUUGGGCGUAAAGCGAGCGCAGGCGGUUAGAUAAGUCUGAAGUUAAAGGCUGUGGCUUAACCAUAGUAUGCUUUGGAAACUGUUUAACUUGAGUGCAGAAGGGGAGAGUGGAAUUCCAUGUGUAGCGGUGAAAUGCGUAGAUAUAUGGAGGAACACCGGUGGCGAAAGCGGCUCUCUGGUCUGUCACUGACGCUGAGGCUCGAAAGCGUGGGUAGCGAACAGGAUUAGAUACCCGCGUAGUCCCUGUCUCUUAUACA